CAGUCGCCACGGUAAUACGUAGGGUGCGAGCGUUAAUCGGAAUUACUGGGCGUAAAGCGUGCGCAGGCGGUUCGUUAAGACAGAUGUGAAAUCCCCGGGCUUAACCUGGGAGCUGCAUUUGUGACUGGCGAGCUAGAGUAUGGCAGAGGGGGGUAGAAUUCCACGUGUAGCAGUGAAAUGCGUAGAGAUGUGGGGGAAUACCGAUGGCGAAGGCAGCCCCCUGGGCCAAUACUGACGCUCAUGCACGAAAGCGUGGGGAGCAAACAGGAUUAGAUACCCCCGUAGUCCCUGUCUCUUAUAC
rnacentral:rRNA from 1 species